rnacentral:rRNA from 1 species
GAUGAACGCUGGCGGCGUGCCUAAUACAUGCAAGUCGAGCGAAUGGAUUAAGAGCUUGCUCUUAUGAAGUUAGCGGCGGACGGGUGAGUAACACGUGGGUAACCUGCCCAUAAGACUGGGAUAACUCCGGGAAACCGGGGCUAAUACCGGAUAACAUUUUGAACCGCAUGGUUCGAAAUUGAAAGGCGGCUUCGGCGGUCACUUAUGGAUGGACCCGCGUCGCAUUAGCUAGUUGGUGAGGUAACGGCUCACCAAGGCAACGAUGCGUAGCCGACCUGAGAGGGUGAUCGGCCACACUGGGACUGAGACACGGCCCAGACUCCUACGGGAGGCAGCAGUAGGGAAUCUUCCGCAAUGGACGAAAGUCUGACGGAGCAACGCCGCGUGAGUGAUGAAGGCUUUCGGGUCGUAAAACUCUGUUGUUAGGGAAGAACAAGUGCUAGUUGAAUAAGCUAACACCUUGACGGUACCUAACCAGAAAGCCACGGCUAACUACGUGCCAGCCGCCGCAGUAA